UUGUCAGUUUUGGUUCAUUACAUAUCACCCUCAGCCUCACGGUUUUUAAAACGUAUCUACUAGGGAGAGGUUUCCACACUUUUAUAAAAAAUGUUUCGUUCUCCUCUCCAACCGACAUGGAAUCCCACGAUUAGAUCAGUCCAAGCUAUUAUUGUUCAUUGCAAACCACGACCAUUAGGCCAAUUCUGACCAGUGUCAGAGUUAUGCUCAAAACCAUUUGGUUCUAUUCAUUUGGAUUCAAGUUACUUAGUCUCCAACCACUCCAUUAUGAGAUCAUCUAACCCCAUAAUUAUACAUCACUCCAACCACAAUCCUACUCAACCAGUUCAAUCUAUGGAAAAAAAUCAAAACUUUUUUAACUUUUUUGACCUUAAACUAACCAACCCAUCUCCUAACAGGCUGAUAAUUAUUCCCAAAACAAACACCAACUCCCCCCUUUGAGUUUCUUUAUUGCUAUGUACUUUCAUCAAUGGAAGAAGCUAAACAACAAUGGAGCUUAUCGUAUCCCUGAUACUCAUACUUCUGGGAAUUGCCAUUUUGGUGUUGAUUAACGUGUGGAUAGUUGGGAGAGCAUUGAGGGGAGGGUUUGAAAAUGAAACGACGACUGUGGGAAGAAGCAACAACAAUAACGGGGAAGCAACAGGCUGCAUGCGCAGAGAUGACUUGGAGAAGCUUCCUUGCUUUCAAUAUAUGGCUAUGGAGGAACCAAUGGGCAGCCCUGUGGAUUGUGCAGUUUGCUUGGGGAAAUUCCAGAUGGGCGAGAAGUGCAGGCUGUUGCCUAUUUGCAAGCACAGCUUCCACGCUCAGUGCGUUGAUGAGUGGCUUUUGCUGACUCCUGCUUGCCCCAUUUGUCGAACAAGCACUCUUGAGUCUCUAAAAGGAGCUGAUGUAGAUGAAAGAUCAUGAACGAUAACGUUUCAACCGUUUGAACAAAGAGAACUGCUGGUUUGUUCCUCUCCCCACCUGACCAAUGAAACAGGGAAGGCAUUAAAUGAGGGCUGCCAUAGAAAGAUGACAAAAGGGCUGGCUAGAAGUCACUGCUGGCCAUGGUGGCUGUCUGGCUGGCUGCCUGGCUGCCUUCCAACCUCGAACUCAUCAGCUCAUCAGCUCAUCAGGAAUAAGUACUCCAAAGCCAAAGAGUAAAGACAGAGACACAGCCAAGAAAUACUGAGUGGCCAAACAGUGAACAGUGGUUUUGGUAAUGGAUCUUGAUGUGAGUUGUUGUGACAGAGUGCCACUUCCUUUAACUCUUCUUCAUUUCAUUUCCUUUUCAACUAUAUGCCAUUUUUGGGGUAUUUUUGCCAACAUAUUUGAAUAUAUACUUAACGCGCAUAGAAUUAUGAGAUAAUCUAAUUAA